CGAGGGGCAGCAUAAUGGAUAGCAAUAUCUAUGGUGGCGACCGGCGCACGGGUGCGUAACGCGUAUGCAACCUACCUUUAACAGGGGGAUAACACUGAGAAAUUGGUACUAAUACCCCAUAAUAUCAUAGAAGGCAUCUUUUAUGGUUGAAAAUUCCGAUGGUUAGAGAUGGGCAUGCGUUGUAUUAGCUAGUUGGUGGGGUAACGGCUCACCAAGGCGACGAUACAUAGGGGGACUGAGAGGUUAACCCCCCACACUGGUACUGAGACACGGACCAGACUCCUACGGGAGGCAGCAGUGAGGAAUAUUGGUCAAUGGACGCAAGUCUGAACCAGCCAUGCCGCGUGCAGGAUGACGGCUCUAUGAGUUGUAAACUGCUUUUGUACGAGGGUAAACGCA
rnacentral:rRNA from 1 species